CGCCUUUCGUGGAAGCUUUCGCCCGCUUUUUAGGACCGACUGACCCGUACUCGACCGCCGUUGGCACGGAACCCUUCUCCACUUCGGAUAUCGGAAGAUCGU